rnacentral:rRNA from 1 species
UACGUAGGGCGCAAGCGUUGUCCGGAAUUAUUGGGCGUAAAGAGCUCGUAGGCGGCUUGUCACGUCGGAUGUGAAAGCCCGAGGCUUAACCUCGGGUCUGCAUUCGAUACGGGCUAGCUAGAGUGUGGUAGGGGAGAUCGGAAUUCCUGGUGUAGCGGUGAAAUGCGCAGAUAUCAGGAGGAACACCGGUGGCGAAGGCGGUUCUCUGGGCCUGUACUGACGCUGAGGAGCGAAAGCGUGGGGAGCGAACAGG